rnacentral:rRNA from 1 species
GUAGUCUCGCACAGAUGCAUAUCAAUAAGCGGAGGAAAAGAAACUAACAAGGAUUCCCCUAGUAACGGCGAGUGAAGCGGGAAGAGCUCAAAUUUGAAAUCUUAAAGGGUUUCCCUUUACGAAUUGUAGUUUAAAGAAGUGUUUUCUGUUGAGGUUUUGGUAAAAGUUCUUUGGAAUAGGACAUCAUAGAGGGUGAGAAUCCCGUAUUUGACCUUUACUUUCAACUUUGUGAUACACUUUCAAGGAGUCGGAUUGUUUGGGAAUGCAGUCCAGAAUGGGUGGUAAAUUUCAUCUAAAGCUAAAUAUUGGCGAGAGACCGAUAGCGAACAAGUACCGUGAGGGAAAGAUGAAAAGAACUUUGAAAAGGAGAGUUAAACAGUACGUGAAAUUGUCAAAAGGGAAGCGUUUGACACCAGUGUUGUUUUUCUGAAAAUCAAUUAAAGAACUGUUUAUGCUAAGUUGUUUAGACUUUAUCAGCUAUCUGUUUAGUUUUGAGCUUUUCUUUAAUGCACUUUUCAGUUAACAAGUCAACAUCAAUUUCUUUUGCUGUAAAAAAGCUUGAGGAAGGUGGCUUGAGAUUCGUCUUAAGUGUUUAUAGCCUCUUGCCUAUGCAGUCGGAGAGAUUGAGGUCUGCAGCGUAGAUCCUUCGGGGCUAAAUGCAUUUGUGCUAAGUUAUAACAUUUUAUAGACAACUUGUUGACUAUAAUUUGUCUUGUAGCUUACUCGCUUAUGUUAUUUUACCUACGCUUAGGAUGUUGAUCUGUAGUGCGUGCGC